rnacentral:rRNA from 1 species
UACGUAGGGUCCAAGCGUUGUCCGGAUUUAUUGGGCGUAAAGAGCUCGUAGGCGGUUCGGUAAGUCGGAUGUGAAAACUCAGGGCUCAACCCGGAGACGCCAUCCGAUACUGCUGUGACUGGAGUCUGGUAGGGGAUCACGGAAUACCUGGUGUAGCGGUGAAAUGCGCAGAUAUCAGGUGGAACACCGAUGGCGAAGGCAGUGAUCUGGGCCAGUACUGACGCUGAGGAGCGAAAGCGUGGGGAGCGAACAGG